rnacentral:rRNA from 1 species
CCUACGGGAGGCAGCAGUGGGGAAUCUUGCGCAAUGGGCGAAAGCCUGACGCAGCAACGCCGCGUGCGGGAAGAAGGCUUUCGGGCUGUAAACCGCUUUCAGCAGGAACGAAAAUGACGGUACCUGCAGAAGAAGGAGCGGCCAACUAUGUGCCAGCAGCCGCGGUGAUACAUAGGCUUCAAGCGUUGUCCGGAUUUAUUGGGCGUAAAGAGUUCGUAGGCGGUCAAGUAAGUCGGGUGUGAAAAUUCUGGGCUCAACCCAGAGACGCCACCCGAUACUGCUUAACUUGAGUUCGAUAGGGGAGUGGGGAAUUCCUAGUGUAGCGGUGAAAUGCGCAGAUAUUAGGAGGAACACCGGUGGCGAAGGCGCCACUCUGGAUCGAUACUGACGCUGAGGAACGAAAGCAUGGGUAGCAAACAGGAUUAGAUACCCUGGUAGUCCAUGCCGUAAACGGUGGGCACUAGGUGUGGGUUUCUAUUAACGAAAUCCGCGCCGUCGCUAACGCAUUAAGUGCCCCGCCUGGGGAGUACGGUCGCAAGACUAAAACUUAAAUGAAUUGACGG